UUCAGGAAGUAAAAGUUUCAAGAAGUCCUGGAAGAGUUCCUUUGCAUACUGUUUAUGUUCUUGAAAUACUUAAUUCAUUAAAGAGGAACAUAAGUCCUAUUGAAGAUCUCUUUUAGAAAUGUUUUCAGGACAUCUUAAAAUCAGAAUUUUAACUUUAAAAUCAUUAAAUUUUAGAGCUGGAACCUGAUUGCAGAUGUUUAAUAUUCAUAUACUUUAGGAGUAGAUACUUUUGUGCCUGAAAACUAUCCAGAUCGUAGCUUUCAAAUUCAGUGGUUACAAAAAUAUUUAGAAGCAUCAUAUGCACUAAAAUACAAAGACAGA